GACGAACGCUGGCGGCGUGCCUAAUACAUGCAAGUCGAACGCAGUGGGGACGGGUGAGUAACAAGUGGGUAACCUCCCAUCAGAGGGGAUAACACUUGGAAACAGGUGCUAAACCGAUACUGAUGGAUGGACCCGCGUUGCAUUAGCUAGUUGGUGAGGUAACGGCUCACCAAGGCCACGAUGCAUAGCCGACCUGAGAGGGUGAGCGGCCAGACUGGGACGGAGACACGGCCCAGACGCCUACGGGAGGCAGCAGUAGGGAAUCUUCGGCAAUGGGCGAAAUUCUAGCCGAGCAACGCCGCGUGAGUGAAGAAGGUUUUAGGAUCGUAAAACUCUGUUGUUGGAGAAGCGGUAUCUAGCCAGAAGGCCACGGCUAACUACGUGCCAGCAGCCGCGGUAAUAC
rnacentral:rRNA from 1 species